rnacentral:rRNA from 1 species
ACGAACGCUGGCGGCGUGCUUAACACAUGCAAGUCGAGCGGUUUGGUCGUUGGUCGUCAGACGUCGGACGUCGGUAUGAAAGCAGGAAUUAAGGGUCUUUGACCUGAGAGGAAAGCUGGAAUAACUGACGACUGCCGCCUGACGACCGACGACUGAAUAGCGGCGAACGGGUGAGUAACGCGUGGGUGAUCUGCCCCAGGAGACCGGGAUGACAGUCUGAAAGGGCUGCUAAUACCGGAUGAUUCCGGCGCUCAGUUUUUUUCUAUUGGGGUUAUGAUUUUGCCUGGUAGAAAAAGCUGAGUGCCGGGCAAAGUGUUUAGCGCUUCUGGAUGAGCCCGCGUCCCAUUAGCUAGUUGGCAGGGUAAUGGCCUACCAAGGCGACGAUGGG